UGUGUGCUGGAAAUAUAUUCUUAAAAUAUGUUUUGGAGGCAGUGCAUAAAUUAAAUCUGCCCUCAAAAAAGGAACAUGGAUUUACCUGGCUGAGUAGCUUGAUUAUAGGCAGAGGACACUGAGGUACAUUUACACAUAAGGUAAUCAAAGCCAUCAAGCUAACAAACUGUGGAGGAAACAAUUUAGUGACAACACUGGUGAUCUGAAUUUGCACCCCCAGGAAGUCUUCUUGGCUCUUGAGACAAAGACAAUGGACUUUGCAGGGGAAAAGAGAGCAAAAAGACAUGCUAGUGAUCCAUCACUUAGGAAAUCAAGGGAGCAGCACCCUCAGAUUCUGUGAACGUUGGAUCCCAGGGCUUGGAGCGGUAGAGUUGCCGAUAUCUUGAUGUAAGUGAGAAAACUGCUCAGGCACAGAUUGCAACUUGCUAAAACUUCAUACCAACUUGGCUACAACAAUGCUGCAAACUCCUAAAUGAGGACAUUUGUCAUGUCCAGAUUCAGCAAAGCACUGAAGCACAUGCUUAAAGCUAACAGAACUUGGGGUAGGGAAUCGAGGAUGGUUCUCUGGCUAGCAGGUGUUCCAGAGCUGCUGGAACAGCAGUGCCUUAUUCAGCCGGAGGUCAUGUAAACCACCAUCAUCCUGAAUCAUCCAGUUGCCCCAGCGAACAUAAUGGUGAAGGAACAAAUGUACCUGGAGCAAUAACUGACCAGUCCAAGCUUGCAAGAUUGUUCUCCGUUAAGCAGA